CAGCCGUAAACUAUGCUCGCUAGGUGUCAGGCAUGGCGCGACCGUGUCUGGUGCCGCAGGGAAGCCGUGAAGCGAGCCACCUGGGAAGUACGGCCGCAAGGCUGAAACUUAAAGGAAUUGGCGGGGGAGCACAACAACGGGUGGAGCCUGCGGUUUAAUUGGACUCAACGCCGGACAACUCACCGGGGACGACAGCAAUAUGUAGGCCAGGCUGAAGACCUUGCCUGAAUCGCUGAGAAGAGGUGCAUGGCGUAGACGUCU
rnacentral:rRNA from 1 species